CAUAUCAGACUUCAUGAUUGUACCAUCAAAAAAGGACACAUUCAGCUGUGGACCUGUAAAAAAAGAUCCUUAAUGUGAGACAGCCAGAGAGAAAGUGAAUGUGUCCCAGAGUGUUCUGAUUAAGGAGGAGGCUCGCCUGACUCGCACCACGGUAAUAAGGGAAGGAAAUUGCAAUCAGGAAGAAGCGGUCCUCUCACACAGUCCUUGCUAGGAGUGGAGGGUCGUUGGCAGGGGACUGGCUCAGGAGGGUUCCAGAAUGACUGUGACCUGGACCCGCACUCAGGUGCCCCUAAGGUGCACAGGGUUGUGUCGCCAUUGAUUCAAAUGGGAGUCGUUCAGGGUGCAGGGAAAACAAGGAGGGCAUCAUUGCCGGGCAGCGAGGACCAAUAACAGAAAGAUCAAGCCUCAUCAGUUUACCCCCAGACAGCAGGAGGAAGAGGCAUAGUGUGAAGAUAGAGAGGUCCCCUUUCACACUCCCCUGGUCUCACAUUUGUGUGAGGGAGCUGAUUGGAU